rnacentral:rRNA from 1 species
GAUGAACGCUGGCGGCGUGCUUAACACAUGCAAGUCGAACGGACGGGCGAGAUUCUUGCUGGUCGGGUGUUGUGGGCGGACGGGUAAUUAACCGGUGGAUACCCUACCUUUGGGACUGGGAUAACGUCGGGAAACCGGAGCUAAUACCGGAUAUUAUGUUGAACCGCAUGGUCCGAAAGUGAUAGACGGUCUGGCUGUGACGUAUAGAUGGAUGCGCGCUGCAUUGGCUAGUGGGUAAGGUGACGGCUUACCAAGGCAACGAUGCGUAGCCGACCUGAGAGGGUGAUCGGCCACACUGGAACUGAGACACGGUCCAGACUCCUACGGGAGGCGGCAGUGGGGAAUGUUGCACAGUGGGAGGAACCCUGACCGAGCGACGCCGCGUGAGUGAAGAGGGUCUUCGGGUCGUAAAACGCUGUUAUUAGGGAAGAACAUAUGUGUAAGUACCUGUGGAGGGGUUGACGGUACCUGAUGAAGAAGCACCGGCUAACUACGUG